UACGAAGGGUGCAAGCGUUACUCGGAAUUACUGGGCGUAAAGCGUGCGCAGGCGGUUUUGUAAGCCAGAUGUGAAAUCCCCGGGCUUAACCUGGGAAUGGCAUUUGGGACUGCAAGGCUGGAGUGUGGCAGAGGAGACUGGAAUUCCUGGUGUAGCAGUGAAAUGCGUAGAUAUCAGGAGGAAUACCGAUGGCGAAGGCAGCCUCCUGGGCCAACACUGACGCUCAUGCACGAAAGCGUGGGGAGCAAACAGG
rnacentral:rRNA from 1 species